UACGUAGGGCGCAAGCGUUAUCCGGAAUUAUUGGGCGUAAAGAGCUCGUAGGCGGUUUGUCGCGUCUGCUGUGAAAACGCGAGGCUCAACCUCGCGCCUGCAGUGGGUACGGGCAGACUGAAGUGCGGUAGGGGGAGAUUGGAAUUCCUGGUGUAGCGGUGGAAAUGCGCAGAUAUCAGGAGGAACACCGAUGGCGAAGGCAGAUCUCUGGGCCGUAACUGACGCCGAGGAGCGAAAGCGUGGGGAGCAAACAGG
rnacentral:rRNA from 1 species